CCAGACUCCUAUGGGAGGCAGCAGUGGGGGAUAUUGCACAAUGGGGGGAACCCUGAUGCAGCGACGCCGCGUGGGCGAUGGAGCGCCUCGGCGCGUAAAGCCCUAUCAGCAGGGAAGAAAAUGACGGUACCUGACUAAGAAGCCCCGGCUAAAUACGUGCCAGCAGCCGCGGUAAUACGUAGGGGGCAAGCGUUAUCCGGAUUUACUGGGUGUAAAGGGAGCGUAGACGGCGAUGCAAGCCAGAUGUGAAAGCCCGGGGCUCAACCCCGGGACUGCAUUUGGAACUGUGUGGCUGGAGUGUCGGAGGGGCAGGCGGAAUUCCUAGUGUAGCGGUGAAAUGCGUAGAUAUUAGGAGGAACACCAGUGGCGAAGGCGGCCUGCUGGACGAUGACUGACGUUGAGGCUCGAAAGCGUGGGGAGCAAACAGGAUUAGAUACCCCAGUAC
rnacentral:rRNA from 1 species